rnacentral:lncRNA from 13 species
AGAAGACUGAAGGGAGCAGGCCAGUGGAGUUGAGAAGAUGACUCACCUGCUGCCUCCCUGCAGGGCAACCUUGACCAGCGCUCUCGGAUCCUUUCUCCAACUGACCCUCUUUGACUCCAAGUUUCAAAUGCUUAAGUGCUACAGACAUGAGACAACUGUUUCUAUUUUACUAAAAUGCAAAAUAAAAGCUGACCACGGAACUGUCCCAAGCUUCUGUCUAGAGAUGGCCCGCCUAGGUCAGGGAUGGAGUUUCUACAGGGUACUCGUCCUGGUUCUGAAGAUGGCUGAACAUGUUGUUGGGGGAUUCUACUCCAUGUGCUCGUUGAGGACCUAGACUGAUGAAACGAAGCCAUCCUAACAUUUGCUUCUGAGACUGCAAUGGUGAUUUCAAUCUCAGCUAGCCAAAAGAGCAAAGGGGCUUGAAGAAGCAUGUGUUGGAGAUUCCAGGGCUAAACCUGGAAGUCACAUGUCUCGAAAGUUAACAUCACUACAUCUUAACUCUAAGGAGACUGGGAAAUAUAAUUCAGGUAUGUACCCAGGAAGAAAAGAAUAAAUUUCUUCAGAGCUCAAAUCA